AUGAAACCAAGAUCGAUCGCCAAGCGACGUGCGGUGGAUGCCGCCGACCUACUCUCGGACGACCUCCUGCACGAGAUCUUCGCUCGCCUGGCACCGGGCGUCCUCGACCUCAUCCGCUGCGCAGGCACGUGCGCACGUUGGUUCCGGCUCAUCAGCCGCCCGGCUUUCCUCCGGCGCGCCGGCAUCUCGCCGGAGAACCCGCGCCACCGGUCCUCCUUCCUCAUUGGCGCCUUCUUCGGGCUGGAAGUGAUACCCGUGGUGCACCUGAAUGCGCCCAGGAAAAGGAAAUCCAACCCGCCUCCGGGAUUCUUCAGGCUUUGUGCGCUGCAGACCGGCGGCGAGCGUCUCACCUUCACCUCGUUCAUCCACAACAACGAUGGAACCUUCAACUACGCGACGCCUCUGGUGUCGCGUCGCGGCCUUCUCCUGGUGCGCCGGCGCAUGACCCUUGACUAG
rnacentral:rRNA from 1 species